GUCUAGCUGGCUGGAUACUAGAGCACUGAAGCAUAGAUUAAUGACAUCAGAGAUGACUUGUGAUGUUUCCUUUUGAGGUCCCAUAGGUAUCUGUUUAUUUCCAGAAAUAUAUACAUUAAGCAUUACUUUUAAUAGUUGUGCAGGGGAAGGGAGGGAGCACUCUAGCAAUAAUUUUGUUGUUAGAACAGGAUUGGUAACGCGGGAUAACUACAGUACAGUGGUGCCUCGCAAGACGAAAUUAAUUCGUUCCGCAAGUCUCUUCGUCUUGCGAGUUUUUCGUCUUGCGAUGCACGGUUUCCCAUAGGAAUGCAUUGAAAAUCAAUUAAUGCGUUCCUAGGGAAACCGCCUUCAGACCAGGUCCGGGGACAGACUGUCCCCGGACCUCUUCUGAAGGCUGGCGGGGCAAGGGCUUUUCUUCCCACCCCCAGCAUUUUAAAACCCCGGGACAGCGGAGGACUUCUCCGCUGUCCGGGCGAUCUUAAAAUGCUGGCGGGCGGCAAUUUAAAAUCACCCCGGGACAGCGGAGGACUUCUCCGCUGUCCGGGGCAAUUUAAAAGCCCCUGGGAAGGCAGGCGGGGGGAGCAAAGACUUUGCCCCCGCCAGCCUUCAGAAGAGGUCCUGGACCUCUUCUGAAGGCGGGCGGGGGCGAAAGUCUUUGCUCCCCGCCUUCAAAAGCCCUCCGGGACAGGCAGGCAGGGGAGCAAAGACUUCGCCCCCGCCCGCCUUCAGAAGGUCUUCCCUCCCCCGCCCGGCUCGGAGCACCGCCCGGGCCGGGCGGCGGCGGGAGGUCUUCCCUCCCCGCCCGGCUUCGGAGCACCGCCCGGGCCGGGCGGCGGCGGGAGGUGCUCCCUCCCCGCCCGGCCUCGGAGCACCGCCCGGGCCGGGCGGCGGGGGAGGUCUUCCCUCCCCAUCGCCCGGCUUCGGAGCACCGCCCGAGCCGGGCGGCGGCGGGAGGUGUUCCCUCCCCGCCCGGCUUCGGAGCACCGUUCCGAAGCCGGGCGGCGGGGGGAGGUCUUCCCUCCCCACCGCCCGGCUUCGGAGCACCGUUCCGAAGCCGGGCGGCGGGGGGAGGUCUUCCCUCCCCACCUCCCGGCUUCGGAGCACCGCUCCGGGCCGGGCGGCGGCGGGAGGUGUUCCCUCCCCGCCCGGCCUCGGAGCACCGCCCGGGCCGGGCGGCGGCGGGAGGUGUCCCUCCCCCCGCCCGGCUCGGAGCACCGCCCGGGCCGGGCGGCGGGGGAGGUCUUCCUCCCCACCGCCCGGCUCGGAGCACCGUCCCGGCCGGGCGGAGGCGGGAGGUCUUCCCUCCCCCGCCCGGCUUCGGAGCACCGCUCCGGGCCGGGCGGCGGCGGCAGGUGCUCCCUCCCCCGCCCGGCUCGGAGCACCGCUCCGGCCGGGCGGCGGGGAGGUCUCCCUCCCCACCGCCCGGCUUCGGAGCACCGCCCGGCCGGGCGGCGGCGGCAGGUGUUCCCUCCCCCGCCCGGCUCGGAGCACCGUUCCGGAGCCGGGCGGCGGGGAGGUCUUCCUCCCCACCGCCCGGCUCGGAGCACCGCUCCGAGCCGGGCGGCGGCGGCAGGUGUUCCCUCCCCGCCCGGCUUCGGAGCACCGUCCGGGCCGGGCGGCGGCGGCAGGUGUUCCCUCCCCGCCCGGCUUCGGAGCACCGUCCGAAGCCGGGCGGCGGCGGCAGGUGUUCCCUCCCCCGCCCGGCUUCGGAGGAGCCUUCCGAGCCCGGCGGCGGCGGGAGGAGGUGUCCCCGCCCGCCGCCAGGCUUCGGAGGAGGUCCGAGGACAGUGGGGAAGACGCGCUGCGCUUCCCCGCUGUCCCUGAGAUUUCCUAUGGGCUGUCGUCUUGCGAAGCAAGCCCAUAGGGAAAUUCGUUUUGCGAAGCGCCUCCAAAACGGAAAACCCUUUCGUCUAGCGGGUUUUCCGUCUUGCGAGGCGUUCGUCUUGCGGGGUACCACUGUAUGUAACUAGCACCUGGUAUUUCCUCCUUUGUUGAAGUCUAAGAGUAAUCAACACAUGGAUCAGUACUGGUAUACAUAACAACAGCACAAUCCUGCGCAUAUUUGCUCAGUAGAUACCUACUAACUACAUUGGGGCUAUCCUGCCUUAUGAGUGGUCAAAGCUUGAAGCCUUAAUACCACAACUAAAUAGGUUGCUGUAAGUUGUACUGCUAUUACUCUCAGAGUUUUAUUCAUACCUUUCAAUAAGGAGUCUUUUUGGAACAAUCACAAUAAGGAAAGUCAACUUAUAUUGUGAUCUGACAGAGUUUGAAAUGUUAAUUAAUGAACAUUUCAAUGCUAUUUGGCAGGGCUGGGGGGAGAGAAAUACUUUAUUAAAAUACUUUAUUAUAUGCUUACGACAAUAAACUUAAUGUAAUAGGGUUUAAUGUUUUAUAAGUGCUAGCUCAUUGGCAUUUUAUUAAUUUCGAUGGUGUUUUGCAAGCUGCUCUAAGAGGGUUUGAUCUGGAAACAUAUUUUAUAUAACUAAAUGCUAUGGAGGGUAAAAGGAGAGAUGGAGCACCAGUCAGAAGCACACAUAGGGUCACUGCCCUUUUUGCUCUAUCUCUAGUGCACAAGGGUAUUAGCUUAUAGGUAUAUCGUCCAGUAAUGCUAUUCUUUACAAGUUGUUGUUGUUGUCGAUGAUAAAAAUAAUAUUCACACUUUAUCCAUGGAUUUGAGAAACAGUUCAUAACUUCAGAAUAACACUCCUGGACUAUGCCUAUUUCAAAAGGUACACAUGGGAUUGUAUGACUGAGUGUUUCUCCAUGUGGGAACAGUGCUUGGAUAUGGAAGAACUCUGCCAGGAUGUAAUAAUCCUCUCCCUAAAACCCAAUAAUACCACUAUCCAGGUGGUAUGUGGGCGACACUGAAUAUUUACAAAGGCUUGCAACAAAAGCUGGGACCCAAAAUAUAUGAUGCCUUAAAUUUAUGUGUAAUUCAGUCCAAUGUAUCUGAUGCAUGUAGUGUUGAGUUGCAAGUAUGUGAGAGAGUGUGUGUGUGCAUAUAGUUUGGGGAAAAUUGUAAAGAGUGAGGUCAUCAGAAAAUGAGGUAUGGAAAAGCAUAGUUUAUGAAAAUCACAUGAUUAAUAGUGAGCAUUGGCAAAAAGCAGGUUUUGCUAACACAGACAUCCUGGCAUAAGUUAGCCAAUAAACAUAUGCAGUGUGAUAAAAAAAAAUCAUUUGUCCUGAUUCAGCCCACAAGUGAUAGCACUGAACCUCUUGAUGAAUCAUAAUUCAGCAUUUUCAUGUAGCAGUCUCCCUUUGUGGCAUUGGCCACUUUAAGGCAAGUUACAGAGGGCUGUAGGAGACUGAAGUGCUCCCCCACUGGUUUUUAUACACAGUACUGCCAUUUCUGAUGUACAGAAACUGACCUGAUUUGUCCUAUGUAGAAUACAAAAGGGCACCACUGGCAGUUAUCAAAUAUUACCAAGGAAGGUGAACAAAAAAAAACACCUUAACAUUAUGAAUAAUAUUACUAGUAUUCACUUUGUGGAAACAAUGGUGCAUCUACAUAAUGGAUAUAUUGGAACCCACUGACCACUAUACAUUUUUGCAUGUUUCUAACUUCCACUUGGAAUACAGUGCUAAAUCCUACAAAACAGCCUCAUAUAUUCAUAUUUAACCAGCAAGUUUAAGAUUCACAGCUCACAACUAAAGAAUAUACAUCAAGUUGUUCUCAAAUCCCAGCCAACUAAAUGAAAAACAAAGCAGAACGGAACUACAAACUCAGAUUGGGAUUCAGGAAUAAUCUUAUGUAGGACAGACCUAGAAGAGAAAACAAGACCGCCACUUGUUGUCGUCUAAUUCCCAGCUGAAACUACUCAAACAUUUCACCACUGAUCUAUAGUCCAACCUAGACACUUGUCUCUCACAGACCAUGGGUAGCAGGCCAAUAUGUGCCAACAGAAAUGUGGCAGAUGCCAGGUCUGUCCCCAUGACUCCUCUGACAACGCUAUGUUGGAAUCUAAUGUCAACCAUAACAUCAAUGGGUCGCAAUGCAGUUAUUACAGCCUGUACUUUUCUGCCUUUAACUUCUUUCUGACCUCACUGUUUACAGUUCCCCUAUUCUCUCAACUCUGGAAAACACCUCAUGCAUCUGAUGGUGUAGCCUAUACUCCAUGAAAGCUUACACUGUAAUAAAUUUGCUAGGCAGUAUCCAACGUUAACCAGCGUAAUCUCAUGGAAAUCUAUUAUUUUACUGAAUUACAUCCAUUGAUUUCGAUGUGUCUCCUCUGAGAACGACUUCAUUCACUAUCACCCUUAGCCUUUAAGGCAGGGUUGGGGGACCUAUGGCCUUCCCCAUGUUACUAGACUUCAGCUCCCAUCAUACCUGAUCAUUGGACAUGCUGGCCAGGGCUGAUGGGAGCUGAAGUCCAACAAUGCUGGGAGGGCCACAGGUUCUACCUCCCUGCUUUAAGGCACCACAAGGGGUUUUUAACUGAAAAAUUAGUGGAUAUUGUCUGACCACGCAUGUUUUCCCAAGGAACAGCAAGUAAUGUUUAACAGUAGAUAUGACAGUUUAAACACAUGUAGCUGCAUUUAAGGAGGUCUUGAAUUAUGAUGCAAGUUAUUCUGCUGCUGUUGCUGUGUAAAUACAUGGAAUGACAUACCAAUGCUGCCCAGUUCCAACAUUUCAGCUAAGCCUGUGCGCUGUGUAAUUGCUCACAACCCAUUAAGCUUGAUAUGUUCUGUAGACUCCCAUCUUUUACCUGAUGCAUUUAUUCUGCAUGGGAUACCUCGAAGAGAACAUAUCUGAUUCAGUAAAAGGCAAAUAAAAUUUAAACCAUGCAAGCAGGAUAUGCUUUCAGGAAAUCUCUGUAUACAGGAAAUAUCUGAAUGGGGUUCUUUUUUGCUGGCAAUGAUCCAGCACUCAGAGAAUGAAUAUAAGGAUGUUCACAAAUAGUGCUGAUGCUUGACUGAUUUCAUAUGUUUGACCAGCUCGUUUUCUAGCUUUCAUCUGCAGAUAUUAUAACUCCCCCCCACCAAAAAAAUCUACCAUAAUUUUAAUUUGCUUCACAAGGCAACAAAAAAGCAAAACUAGUACAAAAAAGGUGAAAAUGCAUUAUGCCUAAAAUUGGAUUAAAAGCAAAUCAAAAUCCAACUGUGAAUUUAUCAUUUCAAUGAAUUUCAAUGCAUGGUUUAAAAUCUGUUCAAAAUCUAUUUGAAAAUGAAUAUGUAAUAAUAUAGACAUAUCUCUUUUUAUAAAGCUAGCAUUGUUGGAUGUAUUCUGUGCAUUAUAAUUCAUGAACAGAGUAGAUGACUAUUUGAGAAGUAUUAAAAUGAGCUGACUUUUCAAUACAGGUAUCUUGACAAUAAGUUUUUUUUUCUAUUCUUGGCAAUUCAGAAACGUAGACAAUUGUGCUGGGAAAAUAAUAUGUAUUGUAAUAUUCAUUGUACAGUAGAAGUAUAGUAAGUGGCAAUUCUGGACAUUACAAGAGACACAAGGAUUAUUUUCUGUGAUUGCACAGAGAAUGCUUGGAUUUCUUGUGAAGCUUUUGCAUUGGAAAUGAGAUUCAUCAGUCUGAACAGGGCAGGGUUAGAGCCCUUAGCAACAUGCUUAUUUUGUAGAAGGUCACUCAAUAAUAACUUCCUCUGCCCUCCAAGCUUAUUAAGACUGACUGGCAUAUAUUAAUGAAAACACCUGAUUCUCCAACCAUAAAACCCAGACAAAGACUUUAUUUUAAUAUUAAGGAAGGAACCCUUAAUUAGCAGGGUUUCAAAAAUGUCAGCUUCUUCUAUUAGCUGUUCUGGUCCAUCAAAGCUAUAAUCCCUACUGUCAAACUUCAUCACAUGAUAGACAGUUUGCUGGCUUUCUCUCUCCUUUUUUAACAACUCUGAUCAUACUGACUGAAGCUUCUCUUAUUUUGCUAUCACAUUUAACAACUUUGCAUGCAUUUCCAUGUUGCAUUGCUGAUUUUACUCCUCUUUUCAAAGUCCACUUGUGUCAGCUAAAAAGGAGACGAAUCUGAAGAAACACAAAAUAUUACAAGCUGAUACACAGACACAUAAUUAAGGGCUUUCUGGAAGACUUAUUCAUAAUAUUGAUUCUUUUUCCAGGGGCAUGCAAAUGUGGUUCUGUGAAAACGUGAAGGAAAAACAAGGGUUCACAGAUGAAUUUCCAUCUCAGACAAGUUACAGAAAAGAAAGAACAAAUGUUUGAAAUGUAUCUCUAAGGCUUGGGGAAAAAAUGCACCGCCUUCAUUGUUAG